rnacentral:rRNA from 1 species
UACGUAGGGUGCGAGCGUUAAUCGGAAUUACUGGGCGUAAAGCGUGCGCAGGCGGUUCGCCAAGUCAGGUGUGAAAUCCCCGGGCUUAACCUGGGAAUUGCGCUUGAAACUAGCGGGCUUGAGUGUGGCAGGGGGGGGUGGAAUUCCACGUGUAGCAGUGAAAUGCGCAGAUAUCAGGAGGAACACCGGUGGCGAAGGCGGUUCUCUGGGCCUGUACUGACGCUGAGGAGCGAAAGCGUGGGGAGCGAACAGG